AUGUUUGCGGGUCUUUGUCAAUCUCUCCCAGUAGGAGAACGAACAUCAUGUCCCUGUGCUAGACUAUUACAGAGAAACAUGUCAACACAACUUCAGAGUUUGAACACAGCUUUACCGGCAAACGCUGAUGUUGAGGCAGCAGAGCCUAAGAGGAGAUCUGAGAGAUUGGUAAAUAAACCUGCAAUUGCAAAGGCAGAGCCCAAGCCAAAGAAGGAGAAGGCAGCACCUAAGCCCAAGAAGGCUAAAGAGGUGAAAAAGACCGAGCCUGAGAAGGAGGUGCCCGCAGAGAAUGGAGAAGCCAAAGCUGAGGAAGAGGCACCAGAAGAACCUGAACAGAAAGAGGAGGAAGAGGCGGCAGAAUAACAUCUCUCAAACCACAUCUUUUAUCAGUGCUCCCUGUACCUCUUUUUCUUGUACAAUUCAGGGGUAUAUUUUUAUCGACUAUUUUCUAAAUGCAGGUUUUUUAGUAGUUUGAUUGUAGAAACACAUUUUUUUAUGAAAUAAAAAAUACAAUUUGAGAUGGGGAUUUCAUUGCAUCCCAUGUUUUUACAUCUCUGGAACAAUUACGGUCAUUGUAAAUGUCAACGGUUUUUAUUUUCGAUAUGGGGGAGGGGUGGGAACGGGACAGGUUACUACACCAAGAACAUGCAAGCACGUCGUUUACAGGAUCCGGUCAAAACAACAGAGAGCUUGUCUGAGAGACUAACAUUCCAUAGGCUAUAUGAGGGAAGGUAUACGUAACCUGCAUUGUGUGGUGGGGAUGAAUUAACUCAAGGGGGAACACAUUGUUUUAUUGUUUAUAACGAGGAAAACAUUUUAAGAUGUUUAAACUGUGUUCCAUAUGUUAACUCUUGUACUCAUUAUGUUUUUCUUUACCAUUCUGCUUAAUAAACCUAUUCCCUAGUACUGGAGUUCCUCCCUAUCAGGCCUGUGCAUUGGGUGUAAUUGGUUGUCUCUGUUCUGUGAUAGCAUUGCAAUAAAUUUGUAUAGCUGCUAUUAAAAGGGGUUUUCAACUUUCUAUAUGCAGUGUGUAAUGGUACAUUGUGAGUAUGGUAAAAAUGGAAUUGUGUUCUUAGCCAAGCUAAAGAAGUACAUAAGUUAAAUAUACUGACUAUUAUGGUUCCUUGGAUGCUGAGAAACUGUACAUCCAUUUGAGCUGUCAAAUACACAAACCAGCAGUAGCAAUAUUCAUGUGGGGUUUAGGUAUCAAGUACAAGUGUACAGUUCUUUUAUCCUUUGUUUAUAGAUGUAUCUGUGUAAUGAUUGGUAUAAACAAACCAAUAAAAAUUUGGUUGUACUUGUUCUGUUCUUUGUGUGAUGGAAAUGGACAAUGUCUGUAUCCAAAUAAUCAUGUAAAAACUACAUUAUUUUGGAUGCCAGUUCUGACCACAUAUGUAAUGCAGUAGCUAAAUAAUACCAGUUCUGAGACUGACAUGGAAACAGCUAGUAUCUCCUUGACAUGAAAAACGUUACUUGGUUAGACUCCUGUCAGACUCAUUCUGUGGGCACGUUGUUUUCACUCCACCCGUUUACUUGAUUGAUCAAUUGAGGUGGCUGAUUAAUAACUUGCCUCAUUGUUUAGGUCUUAAUUGGACACAAUUUGAACUAAAAUAAAGAUCAGAAGACACUGUGAGGGAGCUAAGACACAAAUACAUUAAAGGAGCUGUAUGUAAUAUUUUGCAUUGUAAUGUCAAAUGUCAUAUCUACAGAAAUAGUGGAACAUUUGUGUUUCACAACAUUUUAUCCCCAAAAAUGUUAUUGGGCCCAACUAAAAGUGCAUUCUAAUGGUGCAGCCUUCUUUUUGGUAAAAAAAGAAGAUUGUAAAAUUAACGGGGACUAGCAAGUUUCUUGUCAAAUGGACUGGGGCUGAGAGAUGUUAGAAGUUUGCCCAUUGCUGGCCCCAGUCAAUCUGACAACAAGAGAUGGUCCAUCUUUUAUUGGCCAAUAAGAAGGCUGCACCAUUAGAAUGCAAUUUUGUGUGGCUCCAAUAUGUUUUUUGGGGGAAAAAUAGUGUGAAACUAUCUUUCCACUAUUACUGUAGAUACUGUAUAUUAAGGACAUUUUCUGAAAUUACAAUGUAAACAUAUAGCUCAUUUAAGUACCGUAGGGCUGCAAGAAAGAAACUCACCAUAGAUUCAGUACAUUAGAAGUGUGUAUCACACCUAGAACAAAGGCUGGCACAUAUACUAAACAAAAAUAUGAACGCACCAUGUAAAAUGUUGGUCCCAUGUCUCAUGAGCUGAAAUAAAAGAUCCCAGAAAUGUUCCAUAUGCAGAAAAAUCUUAUUUCUCUCAAAUUUUGUGCACAAAUUAGUUUACAUCCCUGUCAGUGAGCAUUUCUCAUUUGCCAAGAUAAUUCAUCCACCUGACGGGUGUGGCAUAUCAAUAAGCUGACUAAACAGCAUUAUCAUUACACAGGUGCACCUUGUGCUGGGAACAAUUAAAGGCCACUCUAAAAUGUGCAGUUUUGUCACACAACACAAUGCCACAUAUGUCUCAAAUUUUGAGGGAGUGUGAAAUUGGUAUGCUGACUGCAGGGGCUGUUGCCAGAGAAUUAAAUGUUAAUUUCUCUACCAUAAGCCACCUCCAACAUAGUUUUAGAGAAUUUGGCAGUACGUCCAACCAGCCUCACAACCACAGACCACGUGUAACCACGCUAGCCCAGGACCUCCAAAUCUGGCUUCUUCACCUGUGGGCAUUGUCUGAGACCAGCCACCUGGACAGCUGAUGAAACUGAGGAGUAUUUAUGUCUGUAAUAAAGCCCUUUUGUGGUGAAAAACAAAUUCUGAUUGGCUGGGCCUGUCUCCCCAGUGGAUAAAUUGACUGAUUUCCUUAUAUGAACUGUAACUCAGUAAAAUUGUUGAAAUUGUUGCAUGUUGCAUUUAUAUUUUUGUAUAAAAUCAUGUUGAUCUAGUUCAGGGUUUCCCAAACUCGGUCCUGGGGCCUUCCCUAGGUGCAUGUUUUCGUUUUUGCCCCAGCACAUCACAGCUGAUUCAAAUAAUCAAAGUUUGAUGAUGAGUGGGUCAUUUGAAUCAGGUUUGUAGUGCUAGGGCAAAAACCAAAACGUGCACCCAGGGGGGCCACAGGACCAAGUUUGUGAAACCCUGAUCUAGCUAGAUACUCCCAGCGGUUGCAAAUAGGAGUUGAUAUGGAUUUGACUUUUCACCGUUCCUGACCUAAACAGCAAGAUAAAAAAACAAAACUUAUCUUUGAUUAACAUUUAGGGAAGAUUUCCCUCUGUACCAUGCCGUUAUGUGUAUAGGACCCCAGUAAACAUAGGGGUAUAGUUUUACAGAGGGACCCACUGCAUUUAGCAUGCAUGAAGCAUGAGUCUCCGACUCAGAGAAGAGGAGCCCAUCCUGCUCUGAUCACUGUGCAUGGCUUAAUAAAUCAGACGGUGAUUCCAAUUCUUGAUAAUCAGUCUGAAACAAAGCACUGCAAAAAAUGCGACUGUUUCCUCUUAAGCCAGAAUGUUGAAUAAAAUGACAUUUGAACUCAUUCUACUGGUUAUCUGUGCGGUUGGUCCUUUUGACAAAAUAUCCACAGGAAUGUAUUAUUAAACCGAUUUCAAAACA
rnacentral:lncRNA from 13 species